GGGCCCGCACAAGCGGUGGAGCAUGUGGUUUAAUUCGAUGCAACGCGAAGAACCUUACCUACUCUUGACAUCCUGCGAAUUUGGUAGAGAUACCUUAGUGCCUUCGGGAACGCAGAGACAGGUGCUGCAUGGCUGUCGUCAGCUCGUGUUGUGAAAUGUUGGGUUAAGUCCCGUAACGAGCGCAACCCUUGUCCUUAUUUGCCAGCGCGUAAUGGCGGGAACUCUAAGGAGACUGCCGGUGACAAACCGGAGGAAGGUGGGGACGACGUCAAGUCAUCAUGGCCCUUACGAGUAGGGCUACACACGUGCUACAAUGGUCGGUACAAAGGGUUGCCAACUCGCGAGAGUGAGCCAAUCCCGAAAAGCCGAUCUCAGUCCGGAUCGGAGUCUGCAACUCGACUCCGUG
rnacentral:rRNA from 1 species